CGGUACCGGCUGAUGAUAGAAGCGGCCACGUAUUUCAUUUGGUAAUACGCAAAAUCCUUUCCAAGACACAGCCGAGGGCCCCCAUUGAAGGCGGUGAAUCGAUAUGCCGAUUCGCUCAUGAAUCGACCCUCUCUCAUCCAUCUCUCAGGUUUGAAUUCGCGACAAUCUUUCCCCCAAAUCGCUUCCAUUCUUCCCAUUGCGUAUAUUGCGUAGAUGAUUUUCGUUCCUUUCUUCAGAACCGUUCCGUCUGGGAAUACAUCGUCCUCCACAACCUGAAUCAGACGGAUUAUCGAUUAGAUUUCUGAAGUUUUCUUUCGAAAUUAGAAUGUGAAUGAGUAAUUGUUAUAAUUACCUCUUUGUGAUCGAAUGGAACUGAUGGAUACAAUCUUAGGGCUUCGGAAAUGGCGGCGUGCAAAUACUCCAUUCUUUUUAUCUCCUCUGGUUUGAACACUAAUGAAUCGAAUCGAAGCUCUCUGGUUUUGGCCUCUUCUCGUUCGCCGACGAUUCUGCAAAUUUCUUCUAGAAUUUUAUCUUCUACAUCGGGAUUUUGAUCGAGCAACAAGAAGAACCAACUCAAUGCUACGGAAGACGUGUCUCUUCCGGCGAGUAUGAAAUUGACGCAAAUAUCUCUGAGAAACUUAUCGGAGAAUGGGCGUCCUUGCUCGUCCCUUAGCUUCAUGAAUACAGUUAAUAGGUCGGAUCUUUGGUUUUCAGCUUGAGAUUCCGCCGGCGUAGAGAGUUCUCUCUUCCGUGUUUGAAUCACGUCCUCCGCAAAUUCGUCGACGGCUUUGAUCGAUUGCUUCAGCUUCUUUUCAAUUCCUAUGUUCAGGUACCUGCUUAAAUUUAAAUUAAUUAAAAAAAAUUGGGUUUUUUUAAAAUAAGAAUAAUACCUGAAUAACAAUUUGAUACAUAGAUAUAUAUUUAUGAAAUUACACAUUACACUCAAAAUAAUCUAUUUACACUUUGUUGUCUCAAAACUAAAUGAUAGGCUUUUUCCACCCUAAAUUAUAAGAAAUAUUUUUUUAAUUUGUGAUUUGAAAAAGGUGCAACAAUGACUUAGGAAAAGAAAAUGAUCAUUGGGGAUGUUCUUAAAUGACAUCUAUUCUGAGAGUAUUUUUUAAAAAGUUGUAGAUAAUGUUACAAAAUUUGAAAGUAAUAGCUUAGUAUAGUUCAAUGGUAAUUUAGCUAUGGUUAUAAUUUACCAAAGCUGUAAUUUAGCCCUUUUUCUAAGUACAAUUUAACCAAUACUUUGUUGCUGUAGAAGUAUGGAGUCAAAAUUUUAUUGACAUUGAUUACUAGUAAUAUCUUAACUGAUUAGUUAGGUUUUGGUGGGCAGCUCUACAAUAAACUAUUUUCAAACAAAAAAGGAUUAACUAUUUGAAUAUGCAAAAUUAGAAAAAGAAAAUACCUCAUGAAUUUCCAUAUGAAUGUAGGUGUGAUGAAGCGUAUAACAGUGACUUCAGUUGCAUCCUCAAAGGCCUUAGCAAAUGGAAUCUCCGGCAAGCCGCUGCGCAAGCAACCGGGAUCCACCCCAAAGGCAAUCAUACACACAUUAUCAAACGUCAACCUCAAUAGAACAUCCUGCAAGUCCACC
rnacentral:lncRNA from 1 species